rnacentral:tRNA from 1 species
AAAAAGAUAAGCUAACAAAGCUAUUAGGUUCAUACCCUAAACAUAGAAAUAAAUAUUCUUCUUUUUA